UGUCAAGGCCCAGCCAAGCCAAUGCCAGUUACUGAGCCUGAGAAGUUUCCAGUGAAGUCCUUCCCUGAAGGAGGGGCCAGAGAACUGCCAUUUUUUGUUAUGGCCUGGCUUCAGGACCAGUUUGAAAUAAUACCCCUUCUUUCUUCCCUCCCUCCCUGCCUGCCUUCCAUCUCAGGGCAGAUGAAAGAGUCUCUCCAAAUGCAAGGUAUCUUACUUGCUUGCCAAGGCAAGUCCUCUUAUAAAAGGGAGGCUUUAAAAGUCUGUCAAAGGAUACUACCAAGAGGGUGGAUUCAUUAUUUUAAAGCCCUUUCAGGGUCCUCCUACCAUUGCAUUCUUCAUGAACUUCUUUGGAUGGUGACUUGGAAGCAUCCCUCCAGGUGUGGUACUUCUUCCUCCUGACAACAGAGGACUUGGUGUGGAAUUCUCUGAGAUGUCUCCUUGCCUUCACUCUGCACUAGGGGCCACAGACAAGAGCUUUGCCCAGGAAAUGAAAAUAAAAGCCAUAUCCUAUGAGGGUUGGACA
rnacentral:lncRNA from 1 species